CAAAUGCUGUUGAGGUUCUUGAGGAAAUGGCUGCUGUUGAUAUGGUUGAGCGUAAGUAUUAUUUUCUGAUCUGCUGAUUAGGCUUGGUGGUUGAUGGGAAUUAUGGGAUGGAUAAUCAUCGUCUAGGGGAGGCUGGUGGAAAUUAUGUGAUGUAUAAUCAUUGGCUGGAGGCUGAUGAAAACUAUGGGAUUGAAAAUUGUUCGAGGGAUAAGGAGAUGGAGUAGGGUUGGAGGGAGGUGGUGUUAAAAUGUUUGAGGGAGGUAAUGGAGCAGUAGUUGAGGACUGUUGGGGAUC
rnacentral:lncRNA from 1 species